rnacentral:rRNA from 1 species
AGUGAACGCUGGCGGUAGGCCUAACACAUGCAAGUCGAACGGCAGCACAGGAGAGCUUGCUCUCUGGGUGGCGAGUGGCGGACGGGUGAGGAAUACAUCGGAAUCUACUCUGUCGUGGGGGAUAACGUAGGGAAACUUACGCUAAUACCGCAUACGACCUACGGGUGAAAGCCGGGGAUCUUCGGACCUUGCGCGAUUGAAUGAGCCGGUGUCGGAUUAGCUAGUUGGCGGGGUAAAGGCCCACCAAGGCGACGAUCCGUAGCCGGUCUGAGAGGAUGAUCAGCCACACUGGAACUGAGACACGGUCCAGACUCCUACGGGAGGCAGCAGUGGGGAAUAUUGGACAAUGGGCGCAAGCCUGAUCCAGCCAUACCGCGUGGGUGAAGAAGGCCUUCGGGUUGUAAAGCCCUUUUGUUGGGAAAGAAAUCCAGCUGGCUAAUACCCGGUUGGGAUGACGGUACCCAAAGAAUAAGCACCGGCUAACUUCGUGCCAGCCGCCGCCGUAA